GCCGGACCUGACUGCUAUCGGAUUGAUACUAAGCCAUGCGAGUCUUUGUAGUAAUACGAGGCAGACGGCUCAGUAACACGUAGUCAACCUACCCUAUGGACAAGAAUAAUCUCGGGAAACUGGGCAUAAUUCUUGAUAGAUCAUAAUGCCUGGAAUGGUUUAUGGUUAAAAUGAUUCGUCGCCAUAGGAUGGGACUGCGGCCUAUCAGCUUGUUGGUGAGGUAAUGGCCCACCAAGGCGAUUACAGGUACGGGCUCUGAGAGGAGAAGCCCGGAGAUGGGUACUGAGACACGGACCCAGGCCCUAUGGGGCGCAGCAGGCGAGAAAACUUUGCAAUGUGCGAAAGCACGACAAGGUUAAUCCGAGUGAUUUCUGCUAAAGAAAUCUUUUGCCAGUCAUAAAACCACUGGUGAAUAAGGGGUGGGCAAGUUCUGGUGUCAGCCGCCGCGGUAAAACCAGCACCUCAAGUGGUCAGGAUGAUUAUUGGGCCUAAAGCAUCCGUAGCCGGCUUUGUUAGUUUUCGGUUAAAUCCAUGUGCUCAACGCAUGGGCUGCCGAAAAUACUGCAUGGCUAGGGAGUGGGAGAGGUAGACGGUACUCAGUAGGAAGGGGUAAAAUCCUUUGAUCUAUUGAUGACCACCUGUGGCGAAGGCGGUCUACCAGAACACGUUCGACGGUGAGGGAUGAAAGCUGGGGGAGCAAACCGGAUUAGAUACCCGGGUAGUCCCAGCUGUAAACGAUGCAGACUCGAUGAUGCAUUGGCAUAAUAGCCAGUGCAGUGUCGCAGGGAAGCCGUUAAGUCUGCCGCCUGGGAAGUACGUACGCAAGUAUGAAACUUAAAGGAAUUGGCGGGGGAGCACCACAAGGGGUGAAGCCUGCGGUCAAU
rnacentral:rRNA from 1 species